CAGUAGCCGCGGUAAUACAGAGGAUGCAAGCGUUAUCCGGAAUGACUGGGCGUAAAGCGUCUGUAGGUGGCUUUUCAAGUCCGCCGUCAAAUCCCAGGGCUCAACCCUGGACAGGCGGUGGAAACUACCAAGCUGGAGUACGAUAGGGGCAGAGGGAAUUUCCGGUGGCGCGGUGAAAUGCGUUGAGAUCGGAAAGAACACCAACGGCGAAAGCACUCUGCUGGGCCGACACUGACACUGAGAGGCGAAAGCUAUGGGAGCAAAUGGGAUUAGAUACCCCUGUAGUCCCUGUCUCUUAUAC
rnacentral:rRNA from 1 species